ACUAUAUCACAUUGAAACGCCGGUUCUCGUGCAAUCACCGAAGUUAAGCAACGUCGAGGUUGGUCAGUAACAAGAUGGGUGUCCACUUGUGAAUACUAG